rnacentral:hammerhead_ribozyme from 1 species
AUGCAGUUGAAGGGUCCCAAAUAGGACUACACGCGCGUCCUGGAU